rnacentral:rRNA from 1 species
AUUGAACGCUGGCGGCAGGCCUAACACAUGCAAGUCGAACGAGUGGCGGACGGGUGAGUAAUGUCUGGGAAACUGCCUGAUGGAGGGGGCUAACUACUGGAAACGGUAGCUAAUACCGCAUACCAUCGGAUGUGCCCAGAUGGGAUUAGCUAGUAGGUGGGGUAACGGCGCACCUAGUCGACGAUCCCUAGCUGGUCUGAGAGGAUGACCAGCCACACUGGAACUGAGACACGGUCCAGACUCCUACGGGAUGCAGCAGGGGGGAAUAUUUCACAAUGGUCGCAAGCCUGAUGCAGCCAUGCCGCUUGUAUGAAGAAGGCCUUCGGGUUGUAAAGUACUUUCAGCGGUGAGGCGUUACCCGCAGAAGAAGCACCGGCUAACUCCGUGCCAGCCGCCGCGGUAAUAC